rnacentral:rRNA from 1 species
UACGUAGGGUCCGAGCGUUGUCCGGAAUUAUUGGGCGUAAAGGGCUCGUAGGCGGUUUGUCGCGUCUGCCGUGAAAGUCCGGGGCUCAACUCCGGAUCUGCGGUGGGUACGGGCAGACUAGAGUGAUGUAGGGGAGACUGGAAUUCCUGGUGUAGCGGUGAAAUGCGCAGAUAUCAGGAGGAACACCGGUGGCGAAGGCGGGUCUCUGGGCCGAAACUGACGCUGAGGAGCGAAAGCGUGGGGAGCAAACAGG